AACAUUUACCCCGUCACCCUCAAUGCAACCGAUCUCGUCAGAUCUCGGAAGCUAAGUUUGGUUGAGGCUUCUUAUUCCUGAGAUGGGAGAAUGCCUGCGAAUACCAAGUAUUGAAGGCUU
rnacentral:rRNA from 1 species